AUCAUCCUUAAGACUACUUACGACAUUCUCCAUUGAUUACUCAUCAGACAUAUGUAUGUUUGUGUCGCAAAUAGUUUUAUGAUUUGAUAAGUAAGCCGGAAGUUUAUCUUUUUUUUAUUCGAAAAUAUGUGCAUCGCUUUCAGCAAGUAAAUUAACAAACAUGGAAAUAAUUUUAAAUAUGGUCUGUAUACAACGUAAUUUGCUUUACUUAUCAUUACUUAUGAAAAAAAAAAAACAUUUUUGUAAACCGAUAAUAUAAAUUUUGCUUCGCUGCUUUAUUCCUACUAUCGGUUAUAAUUUAAUCUAAUUAGCCUUUCUAAAUAUAUAUGAAAUUUUAGGUAAUUCCAAGUCUACAGCACAAACAACUUGGUACAUGGCCCCUAGUGAAUUAUAAUUAUUGGUACUAAAGGUGCAUGUUCAUGUUUUUUUUUAACAUGAACUAAUAACUGUAAAAAAAAACAUAAAGGCUUCUAGAGUGUGCAGUAAAUGCAGAGAUAGCAUGUCCAAUUUACAUCAUAUCCACAUUGGAACAAAACCGAUAAACAAAUUACAGAUUAAACUGAAAUAGGUAUCUACUAUUGUAUUCCUAAAUUAAGGGGUUUUAUUUCAAUGCAGAUAUGGUUGUUAAAAAUCACCAAAAAUACUUUGUGCUAAUAGAAAUUCGUUUAUACACUUACCCAGAAUGAAGUUAUAUUUUGGCCAUGUAUUGCAGCUUCUAUGGCCACUAAACUAAAGGCAGAUUAUGUUGGAUGAUCAGAGGGAUUGGGGCAGUAAGGCUUUUGCUUUACGGUACUAGAUAAAUACCACACUUACUUCAUCUUUUUCUAGGAAGAAUUGCCUUAUAUGAUUACUUCUUUAGUAACCUGAAGCAUUAAUUGAAAAAGAAGCGUAUUAAAAGGACUACAAAAGAACACUGUGUCAUACCAAAACAACAUGUCGAAGAGGACCAGCAUGACAGUUUUAUGUAGCUAACAAAAGUUAAUAAGGACAUCCAACUCCUUAAGAUAACAAAACAUGCCUUUAAAUGAAAUGUU